rnacentral:rRNA from 1 species
CCUACGGGUGGCAGCAGUGAGGAAUAUUGGUCAAUGGACGAGAGUCUGAACCAGCCAAGUAGCGUGAAGGAUGACUGCCCUAUGGGUUGUAAACUUCUUUUAUAAAGGAAUAAAACGAGGCACGUGUGCCUUUUUGCAUGUACUUUAUGAAUAAGGAUCGGCUAACUCCGUGCCAGCAGCCGCGGUAAUACGGAGGAUCCGAGCGUUAUCCGGAAUUAUUGGGUUUAAAGGGAGCGUAGAUGGGUUGUUAAGUCAGUUGUGAAAGUUUGCGGCUCAACCGUAAAAUUGCAAUUGAUACUGGCAGUCGUGAGUACAGUUGAGGUAGGCGGAAUUCGUGGUGUAGCGGUGAAAUGCUUAGAUAUCACGAAGAACCCCGAUUGCGAAGGCAGCUUACUAAACUGUGACUGACAUUGAUGUUCGAAAGUGUGGGUAUCAAACAGGAUUAGAUACCCCAGUAGUC